rnacentral:rRNA from 1 species
UACGUAGGGGGCAAGCGUUGUCCGGAAUCAUUGGGCGUAAAGAGCGUGUAGGCGGCCAGAUAAGUCCGCUGUGAAAUCUCGAGGCUCAACUUCGAGCUGUCGGUGGAAACUGUCUGGCUAGAGUCCGGAAGAGGAGAGUGGAAUUCCUGGUGUAGCGGUGAAAUGCGCAGAUAUCAGGAAGAACACCAAUGGCGAAGGCAGCUCUCUGGGACGGUACUGACGCUGAGACGCGAAAGCGUGGGGAGCGAACAGG